GGCCUGCGGGCGGCGGGGCGCGGGGAGGAGCCGGAGUCUCCUGACUCGGGCGGCCCGGCCCUCCGCCCCGGCGAGGCGGCACCAGGGCCCUAGGAGGCCGUCCUGCCACCGGAGGUCCGCCCUCCCCCAGGCCGGUCCCCGCAGCCCCUCCCGCCCUCCGGGUCCCCCGGGAGGGGUUCGGGGUUCGGGGUUCGGUUCCCCGCCCCCUUAGUGUUCUCCCUGGAGAAGGCCGCGGGCCUGAGGCUGAGACGGACUCCGGAAGCGAUAGAGCCGGCGCUGCCGAGUCACCUCCGGCUGGAAUGGGCCCUCGGGGCCAGACAAGGAGCCCCCACCCAGGGGUGCCAGCCGCCGCGGGGGGUGGGGGGCGGCCCCGCAGUGCCCGCCCCGCGUCCUGCUCCACGGCGAACGGUCGUCUUUCACCCCGAGGCUCACGGUGCCUGCCCCCUGGGACCUUCUUUUCUGACUGGACCGUGGUGAGGCUGUGGUGCUCAUCAGACGUGGAGAACCUUCUGGUAAGUCUCUGUCUGUGGCUGAAACCAGUGCACAGAGGGUGCGACAAGCAUGCCCAUUGGAAACCAACCUGGACAUUGGACCCCGCACAAGGCAACCAGGGACCACAUCUCACAGGCGGCCUGUUUCAGUACCAGGCGGCUUACCGAGUUUAAAACUCACCAUGACAGGAAGCACCAUGUCUGAGUGGGAAGAUCGAUCCCCCGCGGGCUUCCCCAGGCAGAGCUUCCUGGAGCUGCAGAGUCCGCUGCCCUGAGGGCCCCGGGGCACUAAGGGCUCCGGCCUGCCCACCACGGCCGCCCCAGUCCUCCCCACAGUCCCGGGCUGACACCCCCUGCCUGGCUGGCGGCACCAUGUCGACCCGCGGGCUCGGUUUGUUUUCACAUCAGGACCCUUAAAUGAGCCGCUGUCCGGGGGCACCCACUUCCCACGACAGGGGCUCCCCCAGGUAGACACGCAGCAACUGCGGAACAUAGGCCGAGAAGGAUGACUGUUUAUAAACAUUUGGAAUUUUAUUUAAAAAAAAAUCACAACCAUGAACACCGUUACAGUUCGAGGCCCUCUUGGCAUGCUCACAGGGCUCCCGUCAGUUAGUUAAACAACCAUCUUUAAAAGGAAGAAAGAAAACUCGGCACACUACCGUUGAACUUGUUUUAAUGUUUCUUCACAAAUGGUGAAAAAUACUAAAGUACAGACAAGGAAUAAUCAUAAUGUUGUGGCCAACAUUAUAAAUAUGGAAUUAUAAAUUUAAAACAUUUCUGGUUUAAAAAAUAAAUCUGGUAGCCAACGCAGCCUGCGGGGUCUCUCAUCUAGUAGGGCCGGUCUCUGCGCUCCUGGCGGUGCUCGCCUCUGC